CCCUUAGAUGUUCUGGGCCGCACGCGUGCUACACUGAGUGGAUCAGCGGGUCAGGUUGCGCGAAAGUGUUUCCUAAUCUUGAAAUCCGCUCGUGAUGGGGAUUGACGGUUGCAAUUUUCCGUCAUGAACGAGGAAUACCUUGUAAGCGCGGGUCAUCAUCCCGCGCUGAAUACGUCCCUGCCCUUUGUACACACCGCCCGUCGCUCCUACCGAUUGAGUGGUCCGGUGAGGCUUUGGGAUCUGAGCAAAGAGAGCGUUUCGCUCGUUUUGCCCGGAAAACUCGGUCGAACCUUAUCAUUUAGAGGAAGGAGAAGUCGUAACA
rnacentral:rRNA from 1 species